rnacentral:rRNA from 1 species
AGUGAACGCUGGCGGUAGGCCUAACACAUGCAAGUCGAACGGCAGCACAGUAAGAGCUUGCUCUUACGGGUGGCGAGUGGCGGACGGGUGAGGAAUACAUCGGAAUCUACUUUUUCGUGGGGGAUAACGUAGGGAAACUUACGCUAAUACCGCAUACGACCUACGGGUGAAAGCAGGGGAUCUUCGGACCUUUCGCGAUUGAAUGAGCCGAUGUCGGAUUAGCUAGUUGGCGGGGUAAAGGCCCACCAAGGCGACGAUCCGUAGCUGGUCUGAGAGGAUGAUCAGCCACACUGGAACUGAGACACGGUCCAGACUCCUACGGGAGGCAGCAGUGGGGAAUAUUGGACAAUGGGCGCAAGCCUGAUCCAGCCAUACCGCGUGGGUGAAGAAGGCCUUCGGGUUGUAAAGCCCUGUUGUUGGGAAAGAAAAGCAGCAGGUUAAUACCCCGCUGUUCUGACGGUACCCAAAGAAUAAGCACCGGCUAACUUCGUG